rnacentral:rRNA from 1 species
AUUGAACGCUGGCGGCAGGCCUAACACAUGCAAGUCGAGCGGGGGGUAGCAAUACCCUAGCGGCGGACGGGUGAGGAAUGCAUCGGAACGUGCCGUGUAGUGGGGGAUAACGCAGGGAAACUUGCGCUAAUACCGCAUACGCCCUGAGGGGGAAAGUGGGGGACCGCAAGGCCUCACGCUAUAUGAGCGGCCGAUGCCCG